CAAGUACUCCCUCCAUCUGGAUUUACUUGUCAUCAAAAUGGAUGUGUCUAGAACUAAAAUACAUCUAGAUACAUCCAUUUCAAUGACAAGUAUUUUUAGACGGAGGGAGUACAAG
rfam:Triticum aestivum genome assembly, contig: Triticum_aestivum_CS42_TGACv1_scaffold_342363_4DL